GAAUUUUUCGCAAUGGGCGCAAGCCUGACGAAGCAACGCCGCGUGGAGGAUGAAGGCCUUCGGGUUGUAAACUCCUGUCGACCGGGACGAAAAUAGUCCGACCUAAUACGUCGGGCUAUCGACUGUACCGGUGGACGAAGCCACGGCUAAAUCUGUGCCAGCAGCCGCGGUAAUACAGAGGUGGCAAGCGUUGUUCGGAAUUACUGGGCGUAAAGGGCGCGUAGGCGGCCUUCUAAGUCUUGUGUGAAAUCCCUCGGCUCAACUGAGGAACUGCACGGGAUACUGGAUGGCUUGAGUUCGGGAGAGGGAAGCGGAAUUCCGGGUGUAGCGGUGAAAUGCGUAGAUAUCCGGAGGAACACCGGUGGCGAAGGCGGCUUCCUGGACCGAUUACUGACGCUGAGGCGCGAAAGCUAGGGGAGCAAAC
rnacentral:rRNA from 1 species